rnacentral:rRNA from 1 species
UACGGAGGGUGCAAGCGUUGUCCGGAUUCAUUGGGUUUAAAGGGUGCGCAGGCGGGAGAUUAAGGCAGGGGUGAAAGACGGUUGCUCAACAAUCGCAGUGCCCUUGAUACUGGUUUUCUUGGGUGACCUUGAGGUAGGCGGAAUGGGUGGUGUAGCGGUGAAAUGCAUAGAUACCACCCAGAACUCCGAUUGCGAAGGCAGCCUACUGGAGGUUAACCGACGCUCAGGCACGAAAGCGUGGGGAUCAAACAGG